rnacentral:rRNA from 1 species
GACGAACGCUGGCGGCGUGCUUAACACAUGCAAGUCGAACGAUGAAGCCCUUCGGGGUGGAUUAGUGGCGAACGGGUGAGUAACACGUGGGCAAUCUGCCCUUCACUCUGGGACAUGACCUGGAAACGGGGUCUAAUACCGGAUAUGACCACCUUGGGCAUCCUUGAUGGUGUAAAGCUCCGGCGGUGAAGGGUGAGCGCGCGGCCUAUCAGCUUGUUGGUGAGGUAAUGGCUCACCAAGGCGACGGCGGGUAGCCGGCCCGAGAGGGCGACCGGCCACACUGGGACUGAGACACGGCCCAGACUCCUACGGGAGGCAGCAGUGGGGAAUAUUGCACAAUGGGCGAAAGCCUGAUGCAGCGACGCCGCGUGAGGGAUGACGGCCUUCGGGUUGUAAACCUCUUUCAGCAGGGAAGAAGCGCAAGUGACGGUACCUGCAGAAGAAGCGCCGGCUAACUACGUGCCAGCAGCCGCCGCGG